AUAUUACCACAUCUUUUUUAUAUUUUCUCAGACUUUCACAGGACUAACAACCCAGGAGAGCUCCCAAAAGGCCCUCCCUAAAGUCGGGCUGGACAGAUAUUACACAUGAGAUGGAAGGUGGAUAAAGAUUUGUUUCUCCUGCUUCGUUGCUUUAACCAGCUGAAGUGUGAACCUCAAGAUUAAGAAAGAGAACUAUUGGAGAAUUGGAUAUUGACCUUAGAAAUUUGGAGGAAGAGAUGAUCUCAUGAAAUUGGACCUGUAUCUAACACUAUGCACAAAAAAAACCUCAAAAUGGAUAAAAUACCUACAUGUAAGACCUGAAGUCAUAAAUCUAGAAGAAAAACAUAGAGGAAAG